rnacentral:snoRNA from 1 species
AGCACAUGGUGUGGACAUCUUCUAAGCAAAUCUUUAAAUUGUUCCCAAACCUUAUAUAAGGAUUCACCAUCAAAUUGUAUGAAGGAAGUUAUAUCAUUCCUCAAUUU